GUCACUGCAGAGACACGCCGUGCUGUCUUCUAUCAAAACCGUCUGAAACAAAACGGACUCUCCUGCCUCCUUUAAGGCUCACCGUGUCUUUAUGAAUGGGCCUGCUUCCUCAUUCGCUCUUCCUGUCGGUAUCGGGGGGUCAGAGGCAUUGCCUCCAAAACGGGGAGAGAACGCCGGGCAUCCACACAAGAGCUGGCGGCACACACAAUCCCGCCAGCCCUUCCUCACGGACCCGCCUCCUCACGGUCCCUCGGGGAUUCUGCCUGAGCUUUUCUGAUCUGUAACAAUCCCUUUGAAGGCCUACCAACGCUUAGGUGAGAUGAAAUGACUGAUUACCCUAAAGUUCUGUCUGCACUGGAGUCUUUCUGAGCGGCUGCCGAUUCCAGCCCGUUGAAAGCAUUCGGUGGCUUGAAUCCACGGUUUCUGCCCACAUCACCGCAUUCCUGGGAUGCCUUUCUCUGGGCCUUCGCAAGAUCAUCUGACAGCCGCCUGUGAGGUCAAUGAACUUUAUACAUAAUUAAACCUUGGCAGUUAGGAGAAUUAAAUUUUUUUUU
rnacentral:lncRNA from 1 species